rnacentral:sRNA from 2 species
ACCCCACACACACCGACUCACUCACGCAGGGCAGGAGCGGGGGACCCAGGUAAGUCGCCGGUCCGCACAGCGGACCGGCUCGGGGUGAAGCCGCGUACGGCAGCACGACGCCGUACGCGGCCGGGCACCUCCCGGCCCGAACCCGACAGCUCACCUCGCAGGCGCCGGAGAGGAACAUC